rnacentral:lncRNA from 1 species
GACAGACUGGUACUGUUGAGUCGGUUCAAUUUUUUUGAUUCAUGUUUUGGCAGAUCAUUUGUGUUCAUUCGAAUCCUCAAUGUCUAAUGUGAAUUCUCAUACUUUUUCCAAUCAAAUUGGCCACUCCUAGCCUUUUAUGUAGCCAACCCUAGCUCACGCGACAGACUGGUGUUGUUGAGUCGGUUUAAUUUUUUUGAUUCAUAUUUUGGCAGAUCUUUUGUGUCCAUUCGAAUUCUAAAUGUCCAAUGUGAAUUCUCAUACUUUUUGCAAUCAAAUUGGCCACUUCUGGCCUUUU